GACGAACGCUGGCGGCGUGCUUAACACAUGCAAGUCGAACGGAAAGGCCCUGCUUUUGUGGGGUGCUCGAGUGGCGAACGGGUGAGUAACACGUGAGUAACCUGCCCUUGACUUUGGGAUAACUUCAGGAAACUGGGGCUAAUACCGGAUAGGAGCUCCUGCUGCAUGGUGGGGGUUGGAAAGUUUCGGCGGUUGGGGAUGGACUCGCGGCUUAUCAGCUUGUUGGCGGGGUAGUGGCUUACCAAGGCUUUGACGGGUAGCCGGCCUGAGAGGGUGACCGGCCACCUUGGGACUGAGAUACGGCCCAGACUCCUACGGGAGGCAGCAGUGGGGAAUAUUGCACAAUGGGCGGAAGCCUGAUGCAGCAACGCCGCGUGCGGGAUGACGGCCUUCGGGUUGUAAACCGCUUUCGCCUGUGACGAAGCGUGAGUGACGGUAAUGGGUAAAGAAGCACCGGCUAACUACGUG
rnacentral:rRNA from 1 species